rnacentral:rRNA from 1 species
UACGUAGGGUGCGAGCGUUAAUCGGAAUUACUGGGCGUAAAGCGUGCGCAGGCGGUUUUGUAAGCCAGAUGUGAAAUCCCCGGGCUUAACCUGGGAACUGCAUUUGGGACUGCAAGGCUUGAGUGCGGCAGAGGAGACUGGAAUUCCUGGUGUAGCAGUGAAAUGCGUAGAUAUCAGGAGGAAUACCGAUGGCGAAGGCAGGUCUCUGGGCUGACACUGACGCUCAGGCACGAAAGCGUGGGGAGCAAACAGG